GACGAACGCUGGCGGCGUGCUUAACACAUGCAAGUCGAACGGAGUGGCGAACGGGUGAGUAACACGUGGGUGAUCUGCCUUGCACUCUGGGAUAAGCUUGGGAAACUGGGUCUAAUACCGGAUAGUUCAAGGUGAGCUCGCGGCCUAUCCGCUUGUUGGGGGGGUAAUGGCCUUCCAAGGCGUCGACAGGUAGCCGGCCUGGGAGGGUGUACGGACACGUUGGAACUGAGAUGCGGCCCAGACUCCUACGGGAGGCAGCAGUGGGGAAUAUUGCACAAUGGGCGGAAGCCUGAUGCAGCGACGCCGCGUGGGGGAUGACGGCCUUCGGGUUGUAAACUCCUUUCGACAGGGACGCGGUACCUGUAUAAGAAGCACCGGCUAACUACGUGCCAGCAGCCGCGGUAAUUC
rnacentral:rRNA from 1 species